UUGUCUCAGUUCGGAUUGUAGGCCGAAACUCGCCUACAUGAAGCUGGAGUUGCUAGUAAUCGCGAAUCAGCAUGUCGCGGUGAAUACGUUCCCGGGCCUUGUACACACCGCCCGUCACACCAUGAGAGUUGGCAAUACCCAACGUACGUGAUCUAACCCGCAAGGGAGGAAGCGUCCUAAGGUAGGGUCAGCGAUUGGGGUGAAGUCGUAACAAGGUAUC
rnacentral:rRNA from 1 species